UACGAAGGGUGCAAGCGUUACUCGGAAUUACUGGGCGUAAAGCGUGCGUAGGCGGUUCGUUAAGUCUGUCGUGAAAGCCCUGGGCUCAACCUGGGAAUUGCGAUGGAUACUGGCGAGCUAGAGUACGGUAGAGGAUGGUGGAAUUCCCGGUGUAGCGGUGAAAUGCGUAGAGAUCGGGAGGAACACCCGUGGCGAAGGCGGCCAUCUGGACCAGUACUGACGCUGAGGCACGAAAGCGUGGGGAGCGAACAGG
rnacentral:rRNA from 1 species